AAUGAACGCUGGCGGCAGGCCUAACACAUGCAAGUCGAACGGAUCCUUCGGGAUUAGUGGCGGACGGGUGAGUAACGCGUGGGAACAUACCCUUUGGUACGGAAUAGCCUCGGGAAACUGGGAGUAAUACCGUAUGUGGUCGAGAGACGAAAGAUUUAUCGCCAAAGGAUUGGCCCGCGUUGGAUUAGGUAGUUGGUGGGGUAAUGGCCUACCAAGCCGACGAUCCAUAGCUGGUUUGAGAGGAUGAUCAGCCACACUGGGACUGAGACACGGCCCAGACUACUACGGGAGGCAGCAGUGGGGAAUCUUAGACAAUGGGGGAAACCCUGAUCUAGCCAUGCCGCGUGAUCGAUGAAGGCCUUAGGGUUGUAAAGAUCUUUCAGGUGGGAAGAUAAUGACUGUACCACCAGAAGAAGCCCCAGCUAACUCCGUGCCAGCCGCCGCGGUAA
rnacentral:rRNA from 1 species